GCGGGUGUGGACGAGGCACGCGUCCGGGGCGCUGGGCGUGCACGCGGCCCAGUCGUUCGGCGACUCUCCCGCG
rnacentral:tRNA from 1 species